ensembl:snoRNA SNORD22 Small nucleolar RNA SNORD22
UCCCAGUGAUGAGACAUUCACACGUCUUACUUCCAGUCCUAGCCCCAGAGCCUGUAAAGGUGAACCCACUGGGGCCAGCUAGGGGAGGAGAAGAAAAUUUGUUCCAGAAGGAACUGUCUGAGGGAU